AUAGACACCAGAAUCACGAUAUUAAGUGUUGGAACAUCUGUCCUGUCCUUGAUGGUCAGCAGAAUUACCUGCCAUGGUCUUAUAGUUCUAUCCAGACUGUACCACGACCUCAAGUACUUGGAGACACUCUUGAGAGACCAUACAAAGGAAUGCAGAAAAUGUCCAAAAUGUAUUAAACAGAACGCAGCUUUUAAAUCAUAUGC